rnacentral:lncRNA from 1 species
UAAGGAGGAGGAGGUGAAGGAGAUGAUGGAGGGGGAGACUUGUAGACAUAUGGAGGUGGUGGUGACGGGGAAGGUGGAGGUGGGGACUUGUAGUGAUAUGGAGGUGGAGGUGAGGGUGAGGGUGGUGGUGGUGACUUAUAAAUGUAGGGUGGAGGAGGUGAUGGGGAAGGAGGAGGCGGGGACUUGUAGACGUAUGGAGGUGGUGGUGAUGGAGAUGGAGGAGGUGGAGGCUUCUAAAUGUAAGGAGGAAAAGGUGAUGGAGAUGGUGAUGGAGAUGGUGUUGGAGAUGGUGUUAGAGACGGUGAUGGAGAGGGUGAUGGAGAUGGUGUUGGAGAUGGUGAUGGAGAUGGUGGAGAUGGUGUUGGAGUUGGUGAUGGAGAUGGUGUUGGAGAUGGUGAUGGAGAUGGUGGAGAUGGUGUUGGAGAUGGUGAUGGAGAUGGUGUUGGAGAUGGUGAUGGAGAUGGUGGUGGUGGUGACUUGUAAGGAGGUGGAGGUGAGGGUGAGGGUGGCGGGGGAGACUUGUAGUGAUACGGAGGAUGUAUCACAUGCUUGGGUGGUGGCGGAG